rnacentral:misc_RNA from 1 species
GAUGAAGAACGUAGCGAAAUGCGAUAAGUAGUGUGAAUUGCAGAAUUUAGUGAAUCAUCGAAUCUUUGAACGCACAUUGCGCCCUAUAGUAUUCUGUAGGGCAUGCCUGUUCGAGCGUUAUUGAGACCUCAAGCUCUGCUUGGAAAUGGGCGCUUGUCUUGCCUUGCAGACUCGCCUUAAAACCAUUGGCAGCUGAUUUACAAUGUUUGGUGCACAGUACAUGAGCCCAAGUGUUGCAAUGAGUGGCCCAAAAGUAUACAAUAGAAGCUUAACCUCGGAUCAGGUAGGGAUACUCGCUGAACUUAAGCAUAUCAAUAAGCGGAGGA